rnacentral:tRNA from 1 species
UCCUGGCAGCUCAGUUGGUAAAGAAUUUGCCUGCAAAGUAGGAUACCCUGGUUCGAUUCCUGGGUCAGGAA